rnacentral:misc_RNA from 1 species
AAAAAUUUAACCAUCUUCACGAAAACCAGAAAGUAGCAUUUGUUCCCCAAAAGUUGCAUGGAUCCUUCAACCUUUAAGUCGUCUCCCGAAUUGCAGCAACUUCUCAAUCAAGAGAAGGAAAGGGCCAUGGUCAAUGAAGUAGUUGCAAAGCUUACAAGUUCCUGCUGGGACAAAUGCGUGACUGGUACUCCCGGAAGCAAGUUCAGCUCCAGUGAA